rnacentral:tRNA from 1 species
AUUAUUUUGGCAGAUUAGUGCAAUGGAUUUAGAAUCUUUAAAUAUAGAUUAAACUAUAAAUAAUA